rnacentral:rRNA from 1 species
UGCAAUGAGAAGUGUGCUAAGGUAGCGUGAUAAGUUGUCUUUUAAUUGAAGACUGGUAUGAAUGGUUUGACGUAAAAAAGCUGUCUCUUCAGAAUAUUAUGAAGUUUCCUUUUAAGUGAAAAGGCUUAAGUUUUUGUAAAAGACGAGAAGACCCUGUCGAGCUUAAUUAAUUUUUAUAACAUGUUAUAAAUUUAAAUUUUAUUGGGGCAAUAUAAAUCAAAAUACCGGUUUAUUUAUAUAUUAAGAUCCCUUAAGAUGGAAAAAGGCAAAAGUUACCGCAGGGAUAACAGCGUUAUCUUUUUUGAGAGAGCUUAUUGAGAAAAGGGUUUGCGACCUCGAUGUUGGAUUAUA